UGGUCAUAUCACGUUGAAACACCGGUUCUCGUACGAUCACCGAAGUUAAGCAACGUUAAGCCUGGUCAGUACCUAGAUGGGUGACCGCUAGAGAAUACCAGGAGCUGUAA
rnacentral:rRNA from 1 species